rnacentral:rRNA from 1 species
ACGAACGCUGGCGGCGUGGAUAAGACAUGCAAGUCGAACGGGAGAAUUGCUAGCUUGCUAAUAAUUCUCUAGUGGCGCACGGGUGAGUAACACGUGAGUAACCUGCCUCUUAGUGGGGGAUAGCCCUGGGAAACCGGGAUUAAUACCGCAUACGAUUGAAAGAUCAAAGCAGCAAUGCGCUAGGAGAUGGGCUCGCGGCCUAUUAGUUAGUUGGUGAGGUAACGGCUCACCAAGGCGAUGACGGGUAGCCGGUCUGAGAGGAUGUCCGGCCACACUGGAACUGAGACACGGUCCAGACACCUACGGGUGGCAGCAGUCGAGAAUCAUUCACAAUGGGGGCAACCCUGAUGGUGCGACGCCGCGUGGGGGAAUGAAGGUCUUCGGAUUGUAAACCCCUGUCAUGUGGGAGCAAAUUAAAAAGAUAGUACCACAAGAGGAAGAGACGGCUAACUCUGUGCCAGCAGCCGCGGUAAUACAGAGGUCUCAAGCGUUGUUCGGAAUCACUGGGCGUAAAGCGUGCGUAGGCUGUUUCGUAAGUCGUGUGUGAAAGGCAGGGGCUCAACCCCUGGAUUGCACGUGAUACUGCGAGACUAGAGUAAUGGAGGGGGAACCGGAAUUCUCGGUGUAGCAGUGAAAUGCGUAGAUAUCGAGAGGAACACUCGUGGCGAAGGCGGGUUCCUGGACAUUAACUGACGCUGAGGCACGAAGGCCAGGGGAGCGAAAGGGAUUAGAUACCCCUGUAGUCCUGGCAGUAAACGGUGCACGCUUGGUGUGCGGGGAAUCGACCCCCUGCGUGCCGGAGCUAACGCGUUAAGCGUGCCGCCUGGGGAGUACGGUCGCAAGAUUAAAACUCAAAGAAAUUGACGGGGACCCGCACAAGCGGUGGAGUAUGUGGCUUAAUUCGAUGCAACGCGAAGAACCUUACCUGGGCUUGACAUGUAAUGAACAACAUGUGAAAGCAUGCGACUCUUCGGAGGCGUUACACAGGUGCUGCAUGGCCGUCGUCAGCUCGUGUCGUGAGAUGUUUGGUUAAGUCCAGCAACGAGCGCAACCCCUGUUGCCAGUUACCAGCACGUCAAGGUGGGGACUCUGGCGAGACUGCCCAGAUCAACUGGGAGGAAGGUGGGGACGACGUCAGGUCAGUAUGGCCCUUAUGCCCAGGGCUGCACACGUACUACAAUGCCCAGUACAGAGGGGGCCGAAGCCGCGAGGCGGAGGAAAUCCUGAAAACUGGGCCCAGUUCGGACUGUAGGCUGCAACCCGCCUACACGAAGCCGGAAUCGCUAGUAAUGGCGCAUCAGCUACGGCGCCGUGAAUACGUUCCCGGGUCUUGUACACACCGCCCGUCACAUCAUGGAAGCCGGUCGCACCCGAAGUAUCUGAAGCCAACCGCAAGGAGGCAGGGUCCUAAGGUGAGACUGGUAACUGGGAUG